GGAGAGGUGGCAGAGUGGCCAAUUGCAACGGUUUCGAAAACCGUGACUUUUUUCAAGUCCCGGGGGUUCGAAUCCCCCCCUCUCCGCCA
rnacentral:tRNA from 1 species